CAGGCAGAGGGAGAAGCAGGCUCCAUGCAGGGAGACCCAUGUGGGACUCGAUCCUGGGUCCCCAGGAUCACGCCCCGGUCUGAAGGGGGCGCUAAACCGCUGGGCCACCGGGGCUGCCCAAGAGCCAGAAUUUCAACUGACCUGGAUGCUAAGGAGCAAAGGGAAAGGACACCUCAGAGAGAGGAAGUUCUGCAUGCAAAUUCCUCCCUGGAUUUCAAGCAAAAAGGACUGGAACUUGAAAUGUAAUUCUUGAUCUGCCAAGGUUUUUUGUGUUUUGGAUCCCCCCACCCCCACCCUGUUUCAUAUUGCCCCUUUUCAGUACCCAUUCUGAAAACUUUUUCUGCAUGCAUCAACGGUUUUGAUUGACAUGGAUGGGAGUCAAUUAGAAAAAGAACCUACAAAUAAUCACUGACCCUUUAAAAAAAAUAAUUCUGCAGAACAAGAGGUCUGAAGAUUAGCUUAGAGAUGACUGUGGAUGGCGCUCAGAACAAAAGCCAUCUGACACUGUGGAAACAAGGGGCUCUGCUGCCAGCUCAGGUUCUUUCAGACUUGUGAUCUUUGGGGGCCCCAGCUUGGGAAGAUUAUAAACCUUUUGCAUGGAUUGCUCCAUCUGUAAAGGUAGGUUUCAUAAUAUUUUACCUUGCAGAGUUGUGGGGGUUCGUGAUCAUAUAAAUUAUGUAACUAGCAGAGGAUCUUAAGUAGGCAGCUAUUAUUAGAAAAACGCAAAAUAAAAAAAGGUACACACAACAAAGACCAGAGUAUCUUAGGUUCCACGUUUUUGUUGUUUUCACUAGUCCUGCCAGAGAGGCAAGACCACGAGAAACUUCAGAUGCCACCUUCAGUUUGGAUCAGAUUCUAUUACUGCAUGUUCCGUAAAAGCCCAGGCUGCUGCGCACGGCGAGAACUCACACCAGGCUAGUAGGUCUAAAAUACAGGCAGAGUGCCUGUGGGAAACUGCUGCUUCCCUUCGUCAAAUGAAAGUUCCGUUGCCAAGAGUAAAAGUGGAGAAUGCCCAAGACAUGGCCCUCAACACCCCGGCUCUUCUCCCUGCAAUUACCUUUCCCAUGGGGAUUUUUGAUGGUUUCUCUCGCUUCUCUUGGUCAGGGAGACAGGCAGUGAGUUACGAGGGGUGUCACUGUUUUCCCUUUACAAUUUGGCACAGAUACUUUAAUUUCCUUCCUUAAUUUCUCCAGGACAUCUGAGACCAAAUGCAACAUCUAAAUUCGACUUGACUAGAAGCUCAGAUAUUUAAAGAAGAAUUGAAGUCAGAGAUGCCCAGGGAAGAUGCAUUCCUGCGACUUCCUGCCAUAGUGCGAUCCUCCAAGUCUCCUUGUCGUGCAUGAAGUCCUGCCCUUCCCUCCGUGGUCAUUGUCACAUCAGACUGGGUUGGAUGUGCCCAGAUUCUGGGAGAAACAGCACCACUUUGCCUGCCACUGGGAAGUUCAGCUGGGCCGAUUGGUGAUCCAUGGUAACCUUGACUGCACAGUGACCAAUCAACAGACAAUUGACUCACAAGAGCCAGAAUGGAAGCAGGAAGGACUCAGCAGGCCGGGAUCCAGAAGUGACCUGCUGGCUCUGUCAGUACCGCUGGACAAACAGCUGGGCUGGAGACAACACACUCAAGGAAUGUUUUCUCAGCCUGGCCCAGGGAGGCUGCACAUCUGUCCUGGCUUGUUGACCUGCUUUCUGCAACCAACAGAGGAGAUGAGUCCAGCAGAGAUGGAGGCCAUAAAUCAAUGAUGAGAAGACUGGGAUUUGGAGAUUUUUCAAGUUUCUCAGUCCCACAGCCAAGAAGCGAGAGAGCCAGGAUAUGAUGGCAGGUGGUCAAAAUCCAAAAUGAGAGGUUGUGUACUAUGGGAACAGCACCCGGAGAAGCCAAGUUCAGUGGCUGAUGCAAAACACCACCUAAUGCCUUUGCUGAUGGUUGGGUUGAGCUCAGUGUGAACUACCACCACAGUGUGAACCACAGGAGUCCCCAGCAACCACCUGAAACUGGCUGACAGAAACCAUGGAAGGGCAAGAGUGUGGUGAGCAAAAGUCUUUAAUACUGUGAGAGGCAGGUGGCCUCAGGGAUGACAGAAGCAGCCAAGGGCUCAGCCCUCUUUAGGAUCAGGAAAUGCCACUGACACUGAACGACCAGGAUGAUGUGGAUCUAAAUAAACUUUUUUUUUUUUUUUAAAUGCUGGAAAUAAUCCAUCUUGAUUUGUGCCUGGUUGCUGAAAAUACCAUCAGCCUCUUUCCAGAUGGAACAAAUUAUUUGCCAUUAAAAAUUCAUUUAAAAAUAACAUAACCAAUUAGUGUGCUCCAAUGUCAGCUUAUAGACUAAAAGGA